AUGAACGCUGGCGGCGUGCUUCACACAUGCAAGUCGAGCGAGAAGUUUUGAAAAGAUUCUUCGGAUGAAAUUUAAAAUGGAAAGCGGCGGACGGGUGAGUAACGCGUAGGCAACCUGCCCCAUACAAAGGGAUAGCAUUUGGAAACGAAUAUUAAUACCUUAUGAAACUUAACUAGUGCAUGCUAGGUAGGUCAAAGAUUUAUCGGUAUGGGAUGGGCCUGCGUCUGAUUAGCUAGUUGGUGAGGUAACGGCUCACCAAGGCGACGAUCAGUAGCCGACCUGAGAGGGUGGACGGCCACAUUGGAACUGAGACACGGUCCAAACUCCUACGGGAGGCAGCAGUGGGGAAUAUUGCACAAUGGGGGAAACCCUGAUGCAGCAACGCCGCGUGAACGAUGAAGGCCUUUGGGUCGUAAAGUUCUGUUCUAGGUGAUGAAAACUGACAGUAACCUAGGAGAAAGCCCCGGCUAACUCCGUG
rnacentral:rRNA from 1 species